AGAGCGGAAGGGGAUUAGGGUUAGGGGAGAGAGGGAGAGAGAGAGAGAGAGAUAGAUAGAGAGAGAGAGGCGACUGACGGCCGAUGGGCCGAGCUGGGGCGUGCUGGUUCGGUCUAACCGGCGGGUUGACCUGACCAGUGGGCCUGGGGCCCUUUUGGUCAUUUGACCAAGAGAUUUUUUAGGAAAUUCAGAAAACCUUUUUAAAGCCUUAUAAAAACUCUAAAAAUUAAAGAAAAAUAUGAAUAAUACUCUAAAAAUUAUUCUAUGUUCAGAAAAUACUUUCAAGAAACUUUUAAACAAAAUUCAAAAGAAUAACUAUUAAAGAAAAACAUAAGGGAACCUUUUAUUAGAAACAUUCAAUUCUUUGACCCAAAAUAAUUUACUAAACCAUUUCUUAUUUUCUUGACAAUUAAGCAAAAGAAACAUAAAUAUUUUCUUUGAAAAUAAUUUCUUUAAAACUUCAAAUAGUAUUUUAUAACUCUUAUGGAGGAUAAAUAAAAUUUAAACUUAACCUUUUCUAAUUCCAUAACUUUGAAGUUCAAAAGUAAAAAAACCUAAUAUACAAAUGGGGAGUAAUCACAACUAAAACUCGAAAGGAUGCAUCAUUUGGAUCUUUAACUAUUGCCCUUAUCAGACAUUGAUGCUAAUUUCCAGAAACCGAGGACCUGGGUCAGUCCACACCAUCCAACUGCAAUAUCUUGCAGUCGUCAGGCAAGUUCAUCACUUACUAAUGUCACCUUGAUUAUUUGUUAUCAAAUUAUUUGCAAAGUACUAUACUUAUCACUCCUGCAUUUAAAAGCAAAGUAUUACUUUUACAAUUAUGAAUAUGGCUAUGUGGUGGGCAGUGGAACUAUGGUAUGAGUUUGGUGGAGGUUCCAUUGCACUGGGUUACUCACCUAGGACUUAAAAAAAAAUGCUGUCCAGUGAUUCUUGCGCCGUAAUACUUGUGUUUACCAUACGAUCUGAAAUGGGAUAGCGUAGUCAGCUAUUCUUUUCCCUCUCACAUAUCAACGGGUACACCUUACCGGAGGCCAGCAGAGACUGGCAAGGGGUAUUGUUCCCACGGUUUGGUGUAUUUAGGGGUUGUAGGGUGUGUCUGAGGGUCAUGUGCCGAGGGGUAAGUGACCAAGGUGAAGUCGGUACCUAAACUCAUCAUGGCUAUAAUAAACGGGUGGGUAUACGCGGGAAAGCACAGUGAUUGAGUGAUUGGCUAGGAUCUUACACCUGGCCUCACACCAAUGAAGUGUUGGCGGAAUCUCGAGCCCAAUUGGCAACAAGGAUAAGAUAUCUUAUGGGUAAAGUAACACACCUCUGUAGAUUGUAUCAAAUUGUGGCUUUUCACUCCCUGUUCCGGGUUUGGAACUGCGAACGCAGCCGGAAAGGAACUCCAUGAAAUUCUGGACACCCGGUGAAGGCUGAUAGACAUAGUUUUUAGAAUAAAAGCAACCUUUGAAGAAAUGUUUACAAAAACAUGCAUUGCUUAUGACUUUAUGGUCCAUGGUUGUAGCUAGUGCAUCAAACACCUCUCCCUAUAAUGAACCUGUUGAGUACGCUCGUACUCACCUUUCUUUGAAUCCCCUGCUUAGACUGCCGGAACAACACGGAGAAGACCCACGAAGGAGCUAAGGCCACGGAGGACGUCUACUACGAGGUGCCAGAUCUGUCGGGAGGCGUCGAAGGGGUGGUUUACCUGGUAGAAUAUGGAACGGAGGAGAUCAACGAGGAGGCAGAAGCGUAGAAUCACCAUCUAAGUAGUAGUCGCACUACAAACAGCUGGGGCAUCAAUGAUGGUACAUGGCUGACGUUUGAUAAAUCCGUCAGCGAAUGUCUUUUUCUGUGACGAUACCGCGUUUUCGCGUUACAGGUGGCGUUUUGGGCCGGUCGACCCGGAAAAAUCGUGACGGGCGAGCUCUAAACGUCAACGAUUGUCCAGAAAUGAUCGUCGCGGGAGGUGGGCGGCCCCAACUGCGGACUCGGGGAGGCAUUUUGACGUGAUACAAAUUAUUUUAGCACUUAAUUAUGCACCUGGGCGAAAGGAGAAUGCGAGGACAACUUCCAGUAACUUUAACGGGCAUAGGUACGUGCAAGGUCCGCCCGUACGACCUGCCAAAAACACCGCAUCGUCAAAUACUUUCACCAGGUGCAGACGGCGCAGAGAUCCGAGACACACAGCUCCGCACAACAGAGAAACACCGCCCCAGAUCAGAUCUAGAGAAGGAACUUUGGAGAAGACAUCAUCCGGUCUGCUACGUGGAUCCUCGGAGGAUAAGGUAUCAUCCCCUUCAUCAUCAUCAACCGCUGCAUCACCAUCAUCAUCCACCUCCAACCAUAGUUGUAAUCUUGAUUGCUAUUGUUGAUUUGUAUUUGAAUUCAUUCCAUUCCUUUAAUCCCCUCCAUAAGAUUAUGAUGAUGUUCUUGAUUGCUUCCAUGUGUGAGUAGUCCCAUUAGUUCUUGGGGAAAUGGAGAAACCCUAGCAUGAAUAUGAGAUGAAUAUAAGAUGAUUUAUGGUUUUAGGUAUUAACUAGGAAAAAUGCCCAUGCGUUGCAAUGGAAAAUAGUCAUAUUUGUAAAAAAUGAAUUCAAGACCAUAAUAAUAAAAAAAACGCGGAACAUAUGUUGAGAUGGUUAGGGGAUUCUGAGAGUUUUUCUUUACCAGAUUGAAAGUUAAAGACCUUAAUGGUCUCCCAUUCAGGUAGGUCAAAUAUGACCUAUAUUUAGCGUCCACAAUGCUCGAACAUCUGCCCAAACUGAUAUCCAGUUGUAAGGAAAUUAACCAACUUACUAUGUCCAUGUACAUCCAUGAUUGGAGAACGAUGCACACAUGGGGAGGAGCAAGCUUCGUUCUUUAGUUUGGACUGAUAUAGUGAACUGAAAAUAGAAUAUGUAUAUUACGAUCCUUAUAAGCUGAAACUAAAUCUACACAUCCUCAUAACUAAAUAAGCUUUUUGUGACAGCUCUACAACUGAAUAAUCGCUGAAUUAAACUUAUAAUUAGUGCUCUGAAAUUGGAACUCGGGUAUGAGACCUUCCUACAAGAACUCUUGUAUCCAAAAUAAGAGAAAACAUGGGCACUUACCGCAUAUACGAAAUUCAUAGCAUAUGAGUGCAGCAGUAGAUACGUUUGAAGCCACAGAGGUUAUCGGAACAGGCGGACGCAGUUGAACUGACAACAAGUGACAGAUUGUUCCUUAACGUAGGUGAGCAGUGGAGCCAUGAUGAACCAUAUCAAUCGUAGCACCGCUUGGUUGAUGCAAACGAUUUCAGUUGCUCGCUCUGAACAUGUUUUCUCCAGAUAGCAUUAUUUGGAAAAGAAACGAACACAAAGCUAGCUGGUGCGCUUAGCAGCCAAUAGUGGAGAAGAGGCCUUUGAUCCCAAGCCCCUAGGAGCAAAUGUUCCCGUUAUGAACCAAACCGGGAUCAAUGGGGGGCACUGGUCCCGGUUCGUUUCGCGCUGGGCGACUCCAUCCGCUGGCGCCUGUCCGUUAGCGGCCUAUGGUCCCGGUUUGUAGUACAAACCGGGACUAAAGGGGCGGCGGCAGGGCGCGGCAGGCCGUGUCAGGCCUGGAAACCCUUUAGUUCCGGUUCGUAGUACAAACCGGGACCAUAGGCCCACCCUUUGGAUCCGGUUUUUAUUACAAACCGGCACAAAAGUCCCCAUCUGCCUAUAUAAUCUUACCACUGCCCAAGUGUGAGCCACACUUAGCCAUUUUUUCACUUUCUUAUCACAAGAGGGGUGUAUUGCUUUGCUCUCUUCACAUGCACAAGAGGUGUUCGAUGAAAUGCUUAAGAGGAUUUGCCACUUGAGUUCACACAAAUCAAGCCACACUUAACUUGCUUUUUUCUUCUCCAUCAAGGUUAACAACUUCAUCCUUUGAUCUAUGAUUGAUAAAAUGCAUGUAUAUAUAUACUAGCAAAAGUGCUCGUGCGUUGCUACGGGGCAAAUCAAUCAAUCAUCCUCGUUUUGCUCCCUGUUUUCAUUGCACCACUGCACCGACACAUAGUCGGUUGGCAUUUUAUUGCUUAAUGUGUACUCCCGUCGAUACAUAAUAGUCUUUAUUUCCUUGAUCCUUGAUUGGUUUAAUAACAUCUUAUAUUAUUAAAAAAGAGGAAGUACAUUUUAAAUUUUUUCUAAGAGAUGUCCAAGAUCACAGUUAGUUCAAUAGAAUAAAUAUGUACUCCCUACAUUCUAUAUUAGUUGUCGAAGAUUUGGAUGUAUUUAUAUGUUUAGAUACACCCAAAUAUGUGACAAUUAAUAUGAAAUAAAGGGAGUAUUCAGUGUCGAGCGAUUAAGGAACAAAUAAUUUGCUCCCGCAAAAAAAACAAAUAAUUUGAAAAAAGUGACAACAAAUUGAUCCGAUAACAAUUAGCAGAUUGCUCGUGUGUGUACCAUACUCAGAGCGCAGGUUGCAGUGCACCGGGAUGGCUUGAUAUCUGUGCGACAAACUCCAAUACUGCCAUGAAUGUAAUAUUAAUUCCGUACAUAUUUGCCACAAAAAAUAAAUAUUUUACUGAUUCAUGAAAAAACCAAAUCAAAUUGAUUUGAAGCUGGCCGAGGCUGUUUGAAAGGGAGCUGCUACGUGACUUAGCACAGAGUGUAUUAGACCCAUUUCUCCUAUAAAAGCUCCAAGACUACCCGGCCAACCAGGCCAUCUGAAAGGGGCAAAUCAAUCUCGUUCGUCCAAUCACGUAUGCACAGUAAAUUCUGAAACCCACUUUUCUCCUCAGCCGUCGGAUGCAGUAAUUUUUUUUUCACUUCUUGGUUGUCUGAAUAGGUCGAUGACGGAUGGGCCCUUGCGUGCCUGGGGUCGGCGAGCAGAGGUAGCGAGAGCGCUCGUUCAGGUCGUCUUUCUUCCCUUGUUUUUCUGUGCGCGUGCUGGUGGGUGAAAACCCUAGAUCGGCCCCGUGGUGAAAAAAUCCCCCCAGUUCUGGUUCUCUCUGGUGUGUGGCGGCGACGAUGGCGAGCAGGAGGAAGAGGGAGGCGGAGCUGCGCCGGCUUGCCCAGGUGAAGAAUAGGAGGCGGUGCUGGCCGCGCGGCGCGAACGCGAAGGAGGAGGCGCGCCUGGCCGAGGUCGGACGGGAGGAGGCGGCGCGGCAGCGGGCGGCGGACGUGGUCCCCGGGGAGCUUCUCGUGACGCAGCAGGAGGUUGAGGUCGAGGCAGCGACGGUGGUGCUGGCCGCGACGGACGCGAAGGAGGAGGCGCGCCUGGCUGAGGUCUGGCGGGAGGAGGCGGCGGCGGAGGACGGGGUUCCCGGGGAUCUCCUCGCCAUGCUGUGGGAGGCCAGGUGUGCCACGGUGCAGCAGUGCAAGGAGGCCUCGCACGUCGUCAAGCUCGAGAGGCGGUUCAAGGAGCGCGUCCCGGAGGAGUCCGUCAGCACGGUCGGCGAGCAGAUGCGACCACAGGUGGGGUAAAGCUACCAAGCAGGCGAGUAAGGGAGACGAGGGACUCCUCCACGGCUCGACGAGCGACACUUGAGACGGCAGGAGGGAAAGCAGGUGUGGCAGGCCGAGGAGGGAAGACUCGACCACAUCCAUAGUCAAAAAGCUUUGUAUGGAUUUGAGCAAAAGAAGAGUCACAUGAAUUUGGAUCUUCUAACUUGCAUCAAGAUUUUUGGUGUACAAAAGAUUCUUACCAAUGGUGAUAAUAGGCAACAUGCUGCAGACGGGAAAUACAGUGCAGGGUUGCUGCCGGAGCUUGGCGUGAGUUCUUGCGA